rnacentral:lncRNA from 1 species
AAUAUUUUUACAAUUAAGUCUAAUAUAAUUAUAUGUACAGGUGAAAAAAUAUAUAUAUAUAUAGAGUAAAAGAUGUUAUCUAAAGUAAAAUGGUUUAUAUAUAUAUAUAUAUAUAUAUUUGUGUGUGUGUGUGUGUGUACACCAACUUGGAUAUGUGUAUGAGGAAUUAAAAUUUUAAAUUUAAUGGAUUGAGUUCCCUUGAUGACAUUGAAUCUUGUCUCAUGCAAGGAGGCAAGCUUUCUGGCAUGUCAUUGGUAAAUGGGGAUCAUCUGAUUCUCUUGAGAUCUUCGCCCUUUCCAGCCUAUAAAAACCAUCAAUGUAUUCAUUCAUACAUACAUACAUACAUACAUACAUACAUAUAUAUAUGUAUAAAUAUAUAAACAUACCCAUCACUUUCCUAACUCGGCUAACUAUCUAAUUCUUUAAUCCUCAACUUGUAGUAAAUUCCAGUGAUCGGGCAUGAUACUGCAAAUGGUAAUCCUGUAAACUUGAUGCCAAAACCCUGGGCAUUAUGCAUAUACAUGUUGUUUUUAGCAACCAUCGCAGACACUCUUCCACGAUUUGCACAUUACUUUAAAGCUAUACGUAUAUUGUUCUUGGUACAUAUAUUAGUUAAUGGGAUUUAUUAGGAUAAGGAAACCGAAUAAAAAAAGAAGAAGACGACAAAGAAUAUUACAAGAAGAGGGAGAAGAAGAAACAAAAAGAAAAGGAAAGAAAAAAGUGGUGGAGAAAGACAGAGGCAGGCUAUGGGUGUGUCCGCACUACAUAUAUAUACAUAAAUAAAGACAGACCCAAAUUUCAUUUUCAUUUUUAUGCCUACUUAUAUAUUUACAUACACUUUCUCAACAUACCCUCUUCUUCUUUAUACUUUCUCAACAUACCCUCUUCUUCUUUAUACUUUUCAAACAUCAAUUACAAUGAAUAUCAAAUUUUAGGGUUUGAUCUAUUAAUUUGCUCUUGCAAUGUAUAAAUUGGUUUAAUGUAUUAAUGUGUGCGCACGAGGGACUAACAAAAUUCCAUUUGCCCCACAACCCAACACUUGCCUUUUCUUACAUUUCCAACUAACCAUUUAUAAAU